UCCGCCCCACCAGCAAGCCCACUACUUCCUUCCCCCCCUUCUUCCUCCAGUGUUUGUUUUCCCCAUCUCAUCUCCCCGUCUUUGCUUAAUAGAAGGUUUUUGCCCUUCUAUGUCCGAUUCCUGAGCUGAUCUCUGAAUAAACCCGCGGUGUCUUGAAGAUUUUCCCGGAGAAUGUUAAGAGUCUGAUGCCCACUUGGACUGCGUUUUCGCUCUAAUGAAAAAGCCUGAGCUGAGUUGAUCCAAGGCUCUUUUGGUAUUGACAUUUUGUUGAAGACUAGUGAAAACAUGUAGUUCUUGGGAUCAAUGUUGCAGAAAUAUCAGAUCAGGUGUACAAAAUUGGAAGGCUGAGAGUCUUAGACAGGAAAAUAUCAGAUGAGAUGUACAAAGUUGGUAGUAUAGAUAACAGAAAUGCUAGAAUUGUGGGUAAAUAUCAGCUUUCAGUAUUGGUGGUAGAAUUGUGGGUAAAUAUCGUACUUCGCUCCUACCAGAAAAUGUGGAGGUCUUGUUAUGUGCUAGGGACUGGUUAUAUGGAGUAACAGCUUCUGAAGAUGAAGAAGAUAAAGAAAGACUGAGUAUUGACUUUGCACCUUUAGUUGCUAAACUUACUAACCUUCAUGUUUAGGAAUCUUCUCUGUUUUGUGUUGAGCAAGCAGCAAACUUUUAGGUUGCUAUCUUUGUACUGUCAAGUGGAUUUUGUACUGUCACUGGCACUCCUUCAAGCUGCUUACUAUAGGCGUUUGAAAUGGUCGGUUUUGAAGUCACGUAAGCUGGUCCUCGAUGUUGUCAACUAAACUUGGUUUAUUCUUCUCCUUGAUGUUUAUCAGAGGAUUCAAAUCAGGGAAUAAUAUUUGUUUCUUGCUACAGUAUGUGUCUCUCUGCUGUGUUAAGUUUGUUCGACCUGCUUGGUGGUAAUUUGUGCUAGCAGAGCAACCUGCAGUUAUUAUGCAAAAUUGACACUGAAAUUUUUGUAAUGUAAGGGUACCUUUUUCUUCAUUCACGUUCUUUUUCUUCAUUCACCAGUGAGCUAGAGGAGUUUUAUCAUUUAUGCUAUGCAGUUGUACGAAGCUUGAGAAGCUGAAUGCUUGUUAUUCGUAUUUAUUGAAAAUUUGUCUUUAUUUGUAUGCUAAA